CCUACGGGAGGCAGCAGUGAGGAAUAUUGGUCAAUGGACGAGAGUCUGAACCAGCCAAGUAGCGUCAAGGAUGACUGCCCUAUGGGUUGUAAACUUCUUUUAUAUGGGAAUAAAACGUUCCACGUGUGGGAUUUUGUAUGUACCAUAUGAAUAAGGAUCGGCUAACUCCGUGCCAGCAGCCGCGGUAAUACGGAGGAUCCGAGCGUUAUCCGGAUUUAUUGGGUUUAAAGGGAGCGUAGGUGGAUUGUUAAGUCAGUUGUGAAAGUUUGCGGCUCAACCGUAAAAUUGCAGUUGAAACUGGCAGUCUUGAGUACAGUAGAGGUGGGCGGAAUUCGUGGUGUAGCGGUGAAAUGCUUAGAUAUCACGAAGAACUCCGAUUGCGAAGGCAGUUCACUGGACUGCAACUGACACUGAGGCUCGAAAGUGUGGGUAUCAAACAGGAUUAGAUACCCCUGUAGUC
rnacentral:rRNA from 1 species